rnacentral:sRNA from 1 species
CGGCCGCUCAGCGCGAGGCUGGGGGCCUCGUUUUCCUCCCCGACUCCUCUCGGUGCCCACAGUCUUCUUCUGUCCCAUGCCUCUCCGUCCCCGAGGGGGGCCGGGCCGCCUUGUGACGCCCUCGCGCCGUCCUCGCAGAGUACGUGGCCGAGCACUGGGCAGAGGACACCUUCUUUGGGUACCAGUACCUCAACGGCGUCAACCCCGGCCUGAUCCGCCGCUGCACGCGGAUCCCAGACAAGUUCCCCGUCACAGACGACAUGGUGGCUCCGUUCCUGGGCGAGGGAACGUGCUUGCAAGCGGAGCUGGAGAAGGGGAACAUUUACCUGGCCGACUACCGCAUCAUGGAGGGCAUCCCCACCGUGGAGCUCAGCGGCCGGAAGCAGCACCACUGCGCCCCCCUCUGCCUGCUGCACUUCGGACCCGAGGGCAAGAUGAUGCCCAUCGCCAUCCAGCUCAGCCAGACCCCUGGGCCAGAUUGCCCCAUCUUCCUGCCCAGUGAUUCUGAGUGGGACUGGCUGCUAGCCAAGACGUGGGUACGCUAUGCGGAGUUCUACAGCCACGAGGCCAUCGCCCACCUGCUGGAGACCCACCUCAUUGCUGAGGCCUUCUGCCUGGCCUUGCUGAGGAACCUGCCCAUGUGCCACCCCCUCUACAAGCUCCUCAUCCCCCAUACCCGAUACACCGUCCAGAUCAACAGCAUUGGCCGGGCCGUUCUCCUCAAUGAGGGGGGGCUCUCUGCCAAGGGCAUGUCCCUGGGCGUGGAAGGCUUUGCUGGGGUGAUGGUACGGGCUCUGUCGGAGCUCACCUAUGACAGCCUCUACCUCCCCAAUGACUUUGUGGAGCGUGGGGUCCAGGACCUGCCUG